AGGAGCCGUAUGAGGCGGAAGCUUCACGUACGGUUCUGAAGCCGAGCCUUGCCAGCCAGCGAUGGAUACGGACCGAUAUGUUGUCAUGUGCGGGUGCCUUACGUGUACUGGGU
rnacentral:ncRNA from 1 species